GAAUUGUUGAGAACAAACUGGGUUCAUUGAUUUUCUUGGCAGUUUCAUCCUUAGACUAGGAUAGAGGAAAUCUGAUCAUCACAUAAGGUCAAGAUCAUGAGCUGGUUAAAUAAAAUUUUCAAGGGUUCAGUAAAUAGAGUUUCAAGGGGUCACUAUGACGGAGACUGGCAUGAAGGCCAUUCAUCUGAUUACAA